UGAAUAUAGUCAAUAAAUUCG
rnacentral:piRNA from 1 species